GGGGGCGUUUUUGGAUUCGACGGGGAUUGUUCGAGCAUGAGCAGCGGGUCGUGGGGCUGCGGACACGUUAAAAACGCGGACUUAAAAUUAAACGCAAACAAACAACCUAAACUCGCUCUCGCUGCUUAAUUGCAGCUAGGCCGCCCUGUUCGCUAUCUCCGGUGUAGGGGAUAGGGCGUCAUCGCAGCCGGAUAGCCUGAAUGCAUCGGUCUGUGUGCUUCAGGCGAAACUUAGCCGACUAGCCAACCGUUAGCCUGUCCCUCGGCGAACGCGCGGCGAAACCCAAAUAGAGCGGACUGCACCCGGAGAAACUUAUGUAGCGAGGUCUUCGGACAGGGGUUCGAUUCCCCUCGCCUCCACCA
rnacentral:tmRNA from 1 species